rnacentral:rRNA from 1 species
GAUGAACGCUGGCGGCGUGCCUAAUACAUGCAAGUCGAGCGAACAGACGAGGAGCUUACUCCUCUGACGUUAGCGGCGGACGGGUGAGUAACACGUGGAUAACCUACCUAUAAGACUGGGAUAACUUCGGGAAACCGGAGCUAAUACCGGAUAACAUGUUGAACCGCAUGGUUCAACAGUGAAAGACGGUCUUGCUGUCACCUAUAGAUGGAUCCGCGUCGCAUUAGCUAGUUGGUAAGGUAACGGCUUACCAAGGCAACGAUGCGUAGCCGACCUGAGAGGGUGAUCGGCCACACUGGAACUGAGACACGGUCCAGACUCCUACGGGAGGCAGCAGUAGGGAAUCUUCCGCAAUGGGCGAAAGCCUGACGGAGCAACGCCGCGUGAGUGAAGAAGGUCUUCGGAUCGUAAAACUCUGUUAUUAGGGAAGAACAAAUGUGUAAGUAACUAUGCACGUCUUGACGGUACCUAAUCAGAAAGCCACGGCUAACUACGUG